rnacentral:rRNA from 1 species
CAGCAGCCGCGGUAAUACGUAGGUGGCGAGCGUUGUCCGGAAUUAUUGGGCGUAAAGGGAGCGCAGGCGGACAUAUAAGUCCAUCUUAAAAGUGCGGGGCUCAACCCCGUGAGGGGAUGGAAACUGUAUGCCUUGAGUGCAGGAGAGGAAAGCGGAAUUCCCAGUGUAGCGGUGAAAUGUGUAGAUAUUGGGAGGAACACCAGUGGCGAAGGCGGCUUUCUGGACUGUAACUGACGCUGAGGCUCGAAAGCCAGGGGAGCGAACGGGAUUAGAUACCCCCGUAGUCCCUGUCUCUUAUACA